rnacentral:rRNA from 1 species
GUGGAUAUUCCCGUACCGACCAUGGACCGGCAAAACCGAGACGGUGAGUACUAACCUCCGCCUCGUGGUGGUUCCUUCCUUCGGGUUGGUUCCGCCGCGUGGUGUUGGGACCGUAGCCGCAGUAGGUCAGCGCAGGGGUGACACGGAAUGGGAGCCGGCCGCGGAGGUGGUUUUCCGUGGUCAAGCACGCAGCCAGUCAUGUAGGCAAAUCCGCAUGGCGCGCAUGGCGAGGUGUGAUGAUGGGAGCCGUUAUGGCUCGAUAUCCGGUUGUCCAGGCCGUCGAGAAAAGCCUCGGCGUGAGGGCCAUGGCCGCCCGUACCCCAAACCGACACUGGUGGUCAGGUAGAGAAUACCAAGGCGAUCGAGCAAAUCCUGGUCAAGGAACUCGGCAAAUCACUCCCGUGCCUUCGGUAUAAGGGAGACCCGCUGGGGUGAACCGGCUAGCCCGGGGAGCUUUGGUGGGUGGCACAGACCAGGGGGUAGCGACUGUUUACCAAAAACACAGGUGCAUGCGAAGGCGAAAGCCGCUGUAUAUGCACUGACGCCUGCCCGGUGCCGGAAGGUUAAGAGGAUCCGUCAAUCCCUUCGGGAUGAAGCGGUGAAUUCAAGCCCCGGUAAACGGCGGUGGUAACAAUAACCAUCCUAAGGUAGCGAAAUUCCUUGUCGGGUAAGUUCCGACCUGCACGAAUGGCGUAACGACUUCCCCACUGUCUCGACCAGGAGCUCGGCGAAAUUGCAGUACGAGUAAAGAUGCUCGUUAAGCGCAGAAGGACGAAAAGACCCCGGGACCUUUACUAUACCUUGGUAUUGGCGUUAGGCGCGGAUUGUGUAGCAUAGGCGGAGGCUUCGAAGCGUGGGCGCCAGCUCAUGUGGAGCCGCAAGGUGAAAUACCGCUCUGUUCUCGUUUGACGUCUAACCUCGACAAGUCAUCCUUGUCAGGGACAGUGCCUGGCGGGUAGUUCAACUGGGGCGGUUGCCUCCCAAAGAGUAACGGAGGCGCUCAAAGGUCCGCUCGGCCCGGUUGGCAAUCGGGUGUCGAGUGUAAUCGCACAAGCGGGCUUGACUGCGAGGACGACGGUCCGAGCAGGGACGAAAGUCGGAGAUAGUGAUCCGGUGCCGGCGCACGGGCGCGGCAUCGCUCAACGGAUAAAAGGUACCCCGGGGAUAACAGGCUGAUCAUUCCCAAGAGUCCAUAUCGACGGGAUGGUUUGGCACCUCGAUGUCGGCUCGUCGCAUCCUGGGGCUGGAGCAGGUCCCAAGGGUUCGGCUGUUCGCCGAUUAAAGCGGCACGCGAGCUGGGUUCAGAACGUCGUGAGACAGUUUGGUCUCUAUCCUCUGCGCUCGUUGGAAUCCUGAGGAGGCCUGCCCAUAGUACGAGAGGACCUGGGUGGACGAACCUCUGGUAUGCCGGUUGUCGCGCCAGCGGCACGGCCGGUUGGCUACGUUCGGGAGGGAUAACCGCUGAAAGCAUCUAAGCGGGAAGCCUGCUCCAAGAUUAGGAUUCCAUGGAUCUUCGAGAUCCUGUAGCCCGCAUGUUGAACACGUGUUUGAUAGGCCGGAGGUGGAAGUCCCGUGAGGGGUGGAGCCGACCGGUACUAACGGGCGACGGC